rnacentral:rRNA from 1 species
AGAGUUUGAUCCUGGCUCAGAACGAACGCUGGCGGCGUGGAUAAGACAUGCAAGUCGAGCGAGAUUUUUUUCUGUAGCAAUACAGGGAAAAGUCUAGCGGCGAACGGGUGCGUAACACGUGGGCAACCUGCCGAGAAGUGGGGGAUAGCUCGCCGAAAGGCGAAUUAAUACCGCAUGUGAUCAGAGUGGACAUCCAUUCAAAAUCAAAGUCGGGGCAACCUGACGCUUCUUGAGGGGCCCGCGGCCUAUCAGCUAGUUGGUGAGGUAACGGCCCACCAAGGCUUAGACGGGUAGCUGGUCUGAGAGGACGACCAGCCACACUGGGACUGAGACACGGCCCAGACACCUACGGGUGGCAGCAGUCGAGAAUUUUUCUCAAUGGGGGAAACCCUGAAGGAGCGACGCCGCGUGGAGGAUGAAGGUCUUCGGAUUGUAAACUCCUGUCAUUGGGGAACAAUGCGUAAAUAUUAACUGUAUUUGCGUUGAUAGUACCCGAAGAGGAAGAGACGGCUAACUCUGUGCCAGCAGCCGCGGUAAUACAGAGGUCUCAAGCGUUGUUCGGAUUCAUUGGGCGUAAAGGGUGCGUAGGCGGCGCGGUAAGUCGGGUGUGAAAUCUCGGGGCUUAACUCCGAAACUGCAUUCGAUACUGCCGUGCUUGAGGACUGGAGAGGAGACUGGAAUUUACGGUGUAGCGGUGAAAUGCGUAGAUAUCGUAAGGAAGACCAGUGGCGAAGGCGGGUCUCUGGACAGUUCCUGACGCUGAGGCACGAAGGCCAGGGGAGCAAACGGGAUUAGAUACCCCAGUAGUCC